rnacentral:sRNA from 2 species
AAAAAAAGAAAAGUGCUCUUCUGCCCAUAGGAGAUCUUAGACAAACUCUUGGACCGAGAGAGCCAGACACAUAAGCCACAGACGCUGAGUUCUUUCUACUCAUCUAGCCGCCCAACCACAGCCAGCCAGAGGUCUCCUUCAAAGCACGGGGGCCCAUCUGCCCCAGGGGCCCUGCAACCACUGACCUCAGGCUCUGCAGGGCCUGCUCAACCAGGGAGUGUGGCAGGGGCUGGGCCAGGCCCCACUGAGGGCUUCACAGAGAAGAAUGUGCCUGAGAGUUCCCCACAUUCCCCCUGUGAGGGUCUUCCAUCUGAGGCAGCUUUGACCCCAAGGCCAGAAGGGAAGGUUCCUAGCCGCUUGGCACUUGGCAGUCGUGGAGGCUAUAAUGGACGGGGAUGGGGGUCCCCAGGACGGCCUAAGAAGAAGCACACAGGCAUGGCCAGCAUUGACAGCAGUGCCCCUGAAACAACAUCGGAUAGUUCCCCCACCUUAAGCCGGAGACCACUU